rnacentral:rRNA from 1 species
AAGAAUAAGCACCGGCUAACUUCGUGCCAGCAGCCGCGGUAAUACGAAGGGUGCAAGCGUUACUCGGAAUUACUGGGCGUAAAGCGUGCGUAGGUGGUGNUUUAAGNCUGAUGUGAAAGCCCUGGGCUCAACCUGGGAAUUGCAGUGGANACUGGNUCACUAGAGUGUGGUAGAGGGAUGUGGAAUUUCCGGUGUAGCAGUGAAAUGCGUAGAGAUNGGAAGGAACAUCGGUGGCGAAGGCGAUAUCCUGGGCCNGCACUGACACUGANGCACGAAAGCGUGGGGAGCAAACAGGAUUAGAUACCCUGGUAGUCCACGCCCUAAACGAUGCGAACUGGAUGUUGGGUGCAACUUG